rnacentral:lncRNA from 1 species
CGUGUCCCUUACCUCCUCUCCCGUCCUGGAGAAGGUUGACAUCAAUAUGGCAGCCAGCACAAGCCCCGCUAAGUGUAGUGCUAUGCCCAUUUUGCAGAUGAACUCCUGUACCUAAUGGCCUUAGGUCCUUGGAUGAGAAGAUACCCCUAGAGGCUAUUUGGUCCAGCCCUCUCCCUUACAACUAGAUGUGCAUGACCAUGAUGGAAGGAAAGGCAUGUCCUGAGUCCUUUGAAGACUGCCACAGGGCAAGAAUUCUCUGGGCAUGGAGUCUCUCCCAUAUACCACAGAGUUUCCUUGUUGCUGAAUCCAUCAGGUUUGCAUGGAAAACAAGCUUUCCUAGUGGAUGUUUUCACAGCAUAUGUGAGGAUUAGCAAAUACCAGAUCUCCACUUACCUGCUUGGAGCUCCCCCCGCCAUCACCACACGAUUCCUUGCAGGGUUGGGUAAGCAUCCUUCUUCCCUACUUUCUCUUCUAAACUCCAAGUGCUCU